UAACAAUAAUAAUAAUAAUAACCAAAAUUAAAGAAAACCCCUUAAUACAGCAAAUCACAUUGAAAAUUAAUAUUCAUAAGCUAAUAAUAAUCAGAAUAUUUUUCUCUUGAUUAGAAAAUAAUAAUACUAAAAGUUAACGCCAAGCUGACGCGACGGUGAGAGUCCGUCCCAUCCAACCAAAGCAAAUACCUCCACUUUGUUCGUUCACGGUGAAGCCCGGGUUGCCACGUGUACCCGAAUUAAGCUUCGAACGCAAAGAAUUCGCCACGAUUUGACUAACGGGCUUCGGCCCGAACCCAGCCAUGCUCAUACGGGCCCUCCACUUCCCAAAUACCUCGCAUCUUUCAACGCGGUCCCUCCCUUCGCACGCUACCGAAUUACACAUUUUGCGACUCAGUCCCUCUUCGAUCCUGACUCGGUCCAUGCUGUCUCGUGGAACUGUAGCAUCCAGCGAGUCGAAUAUCGCACCGUAAUGCCCACACGCUUCGUUCACACGCGCUAGAAACGGCGCCGUGUUGCCGUUCAUAUCUUGCUCCACCACCGUUACCACCUUCGGUGAUAACGCUUUUACCCGACGGAGAAGCUCGUCGCGGAGAUUCUCUGUUGUGACGCUUUCGUCGGGUAAUCUGUAUAAUUUGAAUGCGAAAUUAACUGCUAAUGCAUCAUCAGGGUCGAGGCCUAAGUUUUCUCGGCUCAAAUCGGCUACUUUACAGGACAUUACAUUGAAAUAUAAGCAGACCCCGAGCCGAUUAGCGACGGAGUUAAGCUCCAUGUGGAUGGAAUUGAGUCUCUCGUCAACUCCGCCGGCUUGUUCUGUGAAAGCAGUGAUUUUUAAAACGGCGGGGUUGUUUGAUUUCUUGGCAGCCAGUGCAUGCAGUAAAUGCAAGUACUGUCCGCCUUGGCCGAUGUCGAAAUCAAUGACGUGAAGCUUGUUAAAUGGGUGGUCAGCUACAGCUUCAAGGAUGGCUAGAUUGGCAGCCAUGAAACCGAGCUUGAAACAGGGAGAUACCUCGUAUAGAUUGUGAGUAGUCUCUGUAUGUUCUUUGCUUUGCAGCUCCAGGACCGGCGGUGGGUAAUCGACGGGGUUCAAGCGCGACCGUAAAGCGGCGACCAUGUAUGCCGUUAGCCGCUGGUCGGAGGAGCCUCUGAUAUUGGCAACUUGUGAUAGGCGCGUGAGGAUUUCCAGUGCGACGUCGUUUUUUCCAUCGUAUAUUGCUGUGGCUGCUUCUAUUAUAGACUGUUUGGGACAAGAUAUUGCCGGAGAUUCUGUUGAAGAAGCACACGAAGAAGUCGAAGAGGAUGGAGAUAGUGAUGCCAGUUUCUGAAUUUGGUUUUGGUUCUGAGAGGGGCUAAUCAGAUUCUGUAUCGUCUCCGACCACUCGUUGUUGGUGAUGACCGAAACUGUAUCGCCUUCUUCUUCAUCGUUGUCGUCUAAGAGCUGUUUCUCAAGCUCUUGAAGACAAUUCAUCAUUUUUUUAUCAGAUUCCUGUACUCCGAUGGUUGCUCCGUUUUGAACCGGAUUUAGAGACGAAACCCCUGUAGAAUAAUUCUGAAUACCCGGAGAUAAAAACCCACCCAUAUUAGCAGGCUGCUGCAGAACCGGUAGAGCCUGGCGCGUGUUCAUCAUGGUGGAUACAUUUGAAUUCGAAGAUGAAAUUGAAGCAGCAGCGGCAAUCGAAAAAUCUACAGGGGAAAGAGGAGACAUUGGGGAAGACUGCUGAUAACUUCUAGGCUUUACGUUACGGAGAUAAAACCCAAUUCCUUGCUGCUGCUGCUGUUGAAGUAGCAUCAUCUGCUGCUGCUGUUGUUUCUGCUGUUGAAGUUGUAGAAACUGCAAUUGCUGCUGUUGUUGAAACUCCGCUAGAGAUCGCUUCCCCAUCAAAUUAGGUCUCCCUUGAUGAACCAUCUGCGUAACCGGGUCAGGCAAAAUACCCGAUAGCGGCGACGAAUAAGGCCUUUGUGAGUUGUUGUUAUUCAUGGUAGAUCUCCCACCGGCGCCGUAAAUCUCGCCGGAGAAACCUGACGACAUAUUUCAACAAAAUUCCGGCCAACACAGCUUUAUGAUCAGCAAAAGUUUGGAUCUUUAACAAAAUUCUGCAUUACAGAGAAAAGGUAAUUUCCUUAUAGAGAGAGAAAAAAUUAGCUUAUUGUUAAGCAAUUUGAUUGAUUCUUG
rnacentral:misc_RNA from 1 species